rnacentral:lncRNA from 10 species
CUACCUUAUAUGGUGGGGAAAAGAGACCCUCAGUCAAAUUCUUUCUUCUGAGGAGGCAUGGACAGAAGUUGCUACGAACCCGUAAGGAUAGGCCACCAGUAACACAGAAUAACUCUGAUCUCCUCCACCGUUAACCUAUUCAUCCCAGUUUCUCAUCUUGCUCUCAAGAUACUUCUCUCUGAUGCCUCUAGUUUGUAGCAACUCAGCAUUCUGCAAAGACUCUGCUCCAGCUGGGCAAGUAACCUUGUUAUUGCAUACACAGGUAUGCUCAGAGGACAGAAGGCUGGAAGGAAGGGAAGAAGGUAGAAAAACAAGAGUGAAAAAGAGGGUUUCCGAUUUAUGGAUGUAUAUUAAAGCAUAUUGAAGAUAUCAGGUGAUUUCAUCCCUUUAUACACUUCAGCAUAUAUCUCCAAAUGGUGAGAGAGACAGACACUGGGAGUGCUCAUGCGCAGAGGAAAGGCCGUAGGAGGAUGCUAUAAAAAGGCUGUUGUCUGCAAGCCAAGGGGUGAGGCCUCGGGAGAAACCAAGCCUGUUGACACCACGAUCUUGGACUUCCACCCCUUCAGAACCGUUGUUGGGGGAGAGAUCACUGAGUGGAGUGGUUCCCAAUUGUAAUCACCUGGGGACUCCUAACACAGCUGAUGCCCAGCUAGCACCCAGGAUAAUUUAAAUUAGAAACUUCAGAAAGUUUCAAGCAUACACAAAAGAAGGGAAAUAACUAAUUAAUCAUAUCUUGCAUGCUGUUUCAUCCUUGUGAAGGCAGUAUGGCUUAAUGGUCAAGACUGCACAAUCUGAAACUAAACUGCUCGGCUCACCUCAGGUA